GCUGAGCUGGUUCAAUUGGUUAGAGCAUAGUGCUGAUAAUGCCAAGGUCAAAGUUUUGAUCCCUGUAUGGGUCAGCU